UGGGGAAUAUUGCACAAUGGGGGAAACCCUGAUGCAGCGACGCCGCGUGAGCGAAGAAGUAUUUCGGUAUGUAAAGCUCUAUCAGCAGGGAAGAAAAUGACGGUACCUGACUAAGAAGCCCCGGCUAACUACGUGCCAGCAGCCGCGGUAAUACGUAGGGGGCAAGCGUUAUCCGGAUUUACUGGGUGUAAAGGGAGCGUAGACGGCAUGGCAAGUCUGAUGUGAAAGGCGGAGGCUCAACUUCUGGAUUGCAUUGGAAACUGUCAGGCUGGAGUGCCGGAGAGGUAAGCGGAAUUCCUAGUGUAGCGGUGAAAUGCGUAGAUAUUAGGAGGAACACCAGUGGCGAAGGCGGCUUACUGGACGGUAACUGACGUUGAGGCUCGAAAGCGUGGGGAGCAAACAGGAUUAGAUACC
rnacentral:rRNA from 1 species